rnacentral:tRNA from 1 species
GAGGGUAUAGCUCAGUGGUAGAGUGUCUGCUUAGCAUGCAUGAGGUCCUGAGUUCAAUCCCCAGUACUUCCA